rnacentral:rRNA from 1 species
UACGUAGGGUGCGAGCGUUGUCCGGAAUUAUUGGGCGUAAAGAGCUUGUAGGCGGUUUGUCGCGUCUGCCGUGAAAAUCCGGGGCUCAACCCCGGACUUGCGGUGGGUACGGGCAGACGUAGAGUGCGGUAGGGAGGACUGGAAUUCCUGGUGUAGCGGUGGAAUGCGCAGAUAUCAGGAGGAACACCGAUGGCGAAGGCAGGUCUCUGGGCCGCAACUGACGCUGAGGAGCGAAAGCAUGGGGAGCGAACAGG